GAAAAGCUGUGUGAGUUAGAAUCACAGUGGGCUUGUCUGAACUGUCCUCACCCUACCCUCUUGUCACCCAAAGAGCCCGAAUGCAAAGUCCAAGACCAGGUCUUUCUCUUCUGGGGAGUUCUGUCCAGUACCAAGCUAUGUGGGGUGAACUCCAUUUGUCUGGAGCACUGUGGCUCAUGCUGUCUCUGUGUCUGCAGGCGUUUGGGGACAUUAACCGGACUGUUGGGUGAGAGCUCUCCUACCUCUGCGAGCGAGCGCCUUGGCUGUCUGGAUUUCUUUUUGGGUUACUCCUCCUGCCCUGUGUCCCGUGGGAUGGGAUGCGCUCUGCUCCGUGGAUCUCUCGGAGUGCAGCUGGUCCUGGACCCGGAACUGGAAAUCAGCCUUAGAAUGUGGAGAACCCCUGCCGGACCAGGGCUGGCGUCCCUUUGAUGACUGAAGGCACGGGUCAUUUGGAAGAGUGGAAGCCUCAUCAGGCCCGGUCAGGCUUGAUAGAACAUCUGUUUGCGGGAGCUCAGUGGAGGUAAGCAGAGCAGCCACCCACCUCUGUGUUGGUCGGGGUUUGUGUUUGCUGCUUUGUUUGUCUAACGUUAUUCUCCACUAAAAGCACCCCCAUUUGGCAUCAAAAGCAUCAUUGAGCCCUCCACAACCCACUGUCUCUCCUGUGGUUCAUCAAUCCAUACACAUCUAUUUAGCACCUACUGUGUGUCCAGCAU
rnacentral:lncRNA from 1 species